GAAGGAUGGUGCUACGAGUGUGGAGAUCGUCCACCGUCUUCUCCACCUCCGGUCACCGUCGCCGUUGCCGAAUCCACCCCCUCCGGUGAGUACCAACCCAAUUCCAUGCAUCAGUAGCAUCCCUGGGGCCUCUCUAACCUCAUGGACACACAUGCAUGAUAGUUCUUGGAGCUGAUUGAGCCAUCGCCGUUCACCCGGAGGUUCUUGCCGCCGCCGAGCCGUUACACGAGCCACCGUCAUAAACCUAGCUACCCCAGCCAUGUCUACCAUCUCGGUGAGCACCCUUCAGCCUAUAGAACAUACAUGCAUGCACCCAAUUAACCAAUACAUGAUUGUAGAAGCACAUGCAUCACCACCCGAAAACAUCCUCCUUUCGGACUCGCCGCCGGCGUUACUCCGAUGUCCACUGACCGAGAAAAGUAGAGGAAUGGAAUCGCAAUAACAUGAUCUUCAUUUUGUAUUUUGGUUGCACCCCCAAACGAGCCAUCGUUUGUCGCCGGUGAGCUCGAGAUCGAGCUCAGCCAUGGCUGUUCUGCCUCUGUGCAUGAGAAAAGAAGUCAGGGACCUUGUUUCGAGAAUUUAAACAACUAUAAGGUUUAAUGUGCAACUUUUCAACUCACUGACAUAUGAGGCUAGGUCUGCGGGUUGAUUCUUAGAAACCUCAGGGAUCUUUUUGUAUAUUGAUCUUUCACUGACAGUGGACCCCUUGGAAACAAAAAUCUGAAAUUAUAAAAGGAAAGUACCUAAAACUUGUAAAAUCCAUAUAAAAUUAAAUAUAGCUCAUUUUAAGAUGAUACAAAUUUCUGUGAACUCACCAAAUUGUGAACUUUAGUGUUAUGGAAUAAAAACUUGCACUCACAGUACAAAUUUAGCCUCUAAAAUUUAUCCAAGUUAAAUCACACAUAAAGCAUGCACAAACUUAUAAAAUGCAUACAAAAUUCAUUUCAACUCAUUUUGGAACAAACUCAGUUUCUACGGAUCCACCAACUUAUGUUCUCCUAUAAAGCAAAAUGAAAUAGUAUACAUACUAUACAUCGAAUGCCUCUAAAACUAUUACCUUUAAAAUGACUAGUUUUGCAUAAGCUGAACUUUAGAAGUUUAUAUAAAAUUCAUCUUAGAUCCUUUUUGAGUAAACCCAAAUUCAGUAGAAUCAUAGGGUUGUGCACUUCAAUUUUAUAAAAUAAAAAGAUAUACUUACAGUAUAAUGAAAACCCCUAAGUAUUUAAGUAAGGAAUAAGCAACAUGGAGCAUACCUUAACUUGUAACAUUUGUAGAAAAUUCAUCUAUAGUCUAAAUGAAGUGAACCAAAUUUUCUAUAGAACCAGCAAGUAAUAUACUUCAACCUAGUAGAGUGAAUUAUAGCACCCUCUUACAGACCAUGGCUCUGAACCUUAAUUUGGUAGAAUAGGUACUAAACACAUAGUAGUGGUUAAACAAUACAUAUGAAAAAGUAUAUAUAUGCAUGGUAGCUCCAAAUAAAUCCAAAUAAAACUUGUUGAACCAGUGAAGGCAUAGAUCCAUCCCCUUCCACCAAAACUUAGUAUCCUUAACUCAUAUAAUAAUCUCCAGAUUGAUAUGUUAAGUUUCUAACAUAGAACAUCCCCUAGCUUAUAAAAUGUGAAGUAAAGUAAUUUGAACACUAAAAUUUUAUAAACUAAGAUUAGAUUAGUUAACUAAAAUACUCAUUUUAUACAACACUAGCAAGUUAGAGCAAGUUCUGGACCUAAAUCUCCAAAGCCAUGUACACAUAGGGACUAUAUGCCUAGAACACGUUAAAACUUGUAAAAUACAUAAAUAAUUCAUAUUAACUCUAAAAAUUAUGAAACCAAAUGUGUUAGUCUUAGAAAACAAAUAUCUUCACCCCAGCAAACAUAAACUUAAUAAGAAUCACCUUACAACAGCAUUUCACAAUAGUACCUAAGUAAAUCCUACACUGUACCGACGAAACUUCUAAAAUUCAUAACUCCGAAAUAAAAUGAGAUAAAAUAGAAAUUCUUUCACCUAAAUUCAUUUUAUACCAGUACCUAUUCUCUGUGCACAAAUCAUGCAUUUUAGAACAUUUUGGAUUUUUCGCAUAUUUCGGUGUUUAAUUGCAUAACGUGUACUUUGUAUAGAUGAUUGCUUAAUCGGUGAAGAAGUGAUUUAGGUGCUGACAUUUUCCUGAUUCAAGGCAAGUCCCACCUCCCUCUCUUUGAUCACUUUGAACCUAUCUUUUGGAGGUUAUUGAAAAUGUUUGCAAAUCUUGCAUGUCGAUUGUACACUAAUAAAUUAAAAUUUUGUUAAACUUGUUAGAUAAACUCCUAUUAUUUGCAUUAUCACCUUAACUCCACAUAUAUCCAUAUUCCUCAUUCCUAACCUUAGGAACAAUAUGGCUAUACCACUUUAUAUAUGAGUUUUGGUGACACUAGGUUACUAUAAAUCUUAGCCAUGCUUAGAAUGGUCUUCCUUGUCAUUAUGGGCUCAUUUCAAACAUGAAAAUUGAUUUUUAAUUAAUCUGGACAUAACUUUAAUACUUGUGAUUUUGAUAAAUAAAAUGGUGGAAAACAUGGAUUUUAGGUUUGGGCCUCAAGUGGUGCACAUAUGGUGAUUAGUUGUGUACCGAUAGGGGGAGAGUGCGCCCAAACCGACCUAAGGACUUCACUCAAUGUCAGUUCAUUUCGUAUACAGUACAACCACAUGUGCUAGUAUGGGAUAGUCCAAGCUUAGUAAAUUAUUUAUGGUUUAGCCUUACAUUCUGGUAGGCCGGUGUAUAUGAGUUCGGAUAACUCAGAGGAACUUCCUAUUUACCCCGACGUGGUAGUUUAGGUGACUAAGUCUGUCCAAUACAACGGUAUUGUGCCACGUGGGUGGGUUCCCGUUGUGUCCGCCACCACGGCGUUAAGUUCAAGGCGUGGGCCCGCCACUUAACGGUUCUAGGUCAUAUUUCCAGUAUGACUAGGAUGGAGGAACACGUAUCGUGCUGGUGUAAGGCUAAAUCAUGAAUUUUGGAAAAGCUUUGUUGCGGGUAAUAAAUCGGGUACUUAUGUAUCGCGUGCCAUGCACUUGCAUGAUUAUUAUUUCGCAUCAUGUGGGUAAAGUGUACAAACUCUGCAGAGUUAAAACUAAUCGAUUAGCCGUGCUCGCAGUCAUGAGCGGCGUGUGGAUAUGUAUUGAGUAUAGACUUGUGUUUAUUCUCCUAAAUGCUGAAAUUUACCUUCAAAUUGUGAUGAGAUUUGAGAAUGAUCUCCUUGCUGCCAUGGAUGGCAAUGAGGUGAAUAUUUAUACAUGAUUAAUGCCUACUCUGAUGCCCAUAUGCUAAGUACUAGCUUGCUGAAAUUUUAUUUGAAAGCAAAUCCGUUUUGAAUGUGUUUUAUGCAAAUAAAAUUUGCUUUAUGCUAAAAAGAACCAUACUAUGCCUUCCUUGAUUAUAUACCUUGCAAGUAGGGUGUUAGGCUUGUCUUGGUGCUUGCCAGUACAUUAUUUCUAAUAAUGUACUGACUCUUGCUGUGGAAUUAACUUUUGCUUGCAGGAUUUAGACUUAGUCUUUGAGUGAUGCGGGUUAUCGACUGCUUCUUCUAGGACUUGAACAUAAUGGGUAAACCCCUAGUCGGUGUGCUUGUGGAUUGGGUAGACAAGUUUCCGCUGUUCUAUUAUUUAUUUGGCCGGUCGGCCAAUGUAACUAAAGUAGAUGUAGUUUUUAAUCGCUUUCAUCUUAUUUGUGUUUGCUAUGUAUAAUCAUGCUUGAGAUGAAAGUGUGAAUCUAGUGCACAUCCUGGGAACUAGAUUCACAUGAGUAUGAGUUAGGAAUAUUUGAGAUGUAGAACUUUAGCCAUUUUUGUCAAGUCUCCUGAAUGUGUAACACAUCUGGUCGCCGCCUUCGAGUGGUUUGACGGGCACAUCUCAGGCUGAAGUUGACUGGCAGGCUAAAGGCCUAGCAAUAUCUCCAAUAUUCCUCUCUCGAGGCGUCGGAUAUUUCAUUAUGCUUGUUUGAUGACUUGAAUUAUUCACUUCAUCUCUCAAUUAUAAUGGAAGGUCCGGAGAGCCUACGACAUAAUGUUAAUAGAUUGUUGCUAGAGAAAAUAUUGAUGGUUUACAACUCUAAUAUGGCUAAUUAUAGUACAAAACUAUAAAUGCUACAAGUCAACUAUAUGGGUAUGGGUACCCAUUGGAUACCCGUUACCCGCACGGGUGUGGGUAUGGGGAAGAUUUUCUACUCGUGAUGGGUGUGGGUAUUUAAGUGGGAAUAUUUAGACGUCACGGGUGUGGGUAUGGGGCAAGAGAACCCGAUGGGUAUGCACCCGUUGCCAUCCCUAGCCGCGCCGCACGCGCCUGUCACGCGCGCGCCCACGCGCGUUGACCGCGCCUGGCAGGCGGGUCCCGCCUGUCGGACCCGUCUUCCUCCCCCAGCCGGCCUCUUCUCUCUCACGUGCAAACCUAGCGCCGUUCCUCCUCCAAAUCCACCCCAUUCAAGCCGGCUCUUUCCAAAUUAAUUGGGGGGUUUUAAUCCCCAUUGAAUCCUCUUCAAUUCCCCCCAAUUUCCCCCUUGAAUCGUGCCCCCAAUCGCCGGGAAUGCCCGCGCCAACUCCGGCCACCUUCCAUGGUCGCCGGCCGCCUUUUCCGCCGCCGUUCCGACCUCCCCCGUGGCCGGCUCCCUCUCCUCUCCUAUAAAAUGGAACCCCCUCGCCCCGUUCUCUCGUUUUAGCCCCCUCCCGCGAUCUCCUGUGGUCC
rnacentral:lncRNA from 1 species